GAUCCACCCAUCUUGGCCUCCCAAUGUGCAGGGAUUACAGGCAUAAGCCACAGAGCCCGGCCUACAUAUUGCUUAUUAUUCAUACUUAAAAGCGCAUGCCUGGGAAUCGGGGGCUGGAGAGGGCUGAAGGCUCCCCAAGCCACCUUCCCAAAUCCUACGUCUCAUCUGUGCCAUGAAAGGGGCAGGUUAGAUGUCAGCGUUUCCCACACUAGCCUGAGUGUAAGCAUCCACUGAGGGAACUUCCAAAUAAUACAGACUCCCAGAUCACGCUGAUUCCAGGAGGUCUGGGACGGGUGCAAGGAAUUUCAAGAAGUAACAUCAAGUUAUUCUUAUGCUCAGAGAAGGCUAAUAAAUUUGGGGCGAGGCCAAAAGGCGUUGGAAGCCAGUAGUUUGAAAGAAAAAUAGCUUUCCAAAGGCUUUCGCUUUGUAAAAACUAAAUGGUGCCUUUUGGAAUACAAUGUGAACAUAACUUUUCCAAGGAUUUAAGGUGUUGAUGAGAAAGACAUUCUGAGACCUGCCAGCAGAUGGAGCCAUAAAACAAGAAAUAGAUGUUUACAGCCUCAACUCGGGAGAAAAAUACCGUGAAUGCACCUUACACUAUAGAAGUAACACUUUUCCCUCUGCUUUAUUUUCUCUAUAUGCUAAACUCCUUACUUGCCUCUGCUAAAGAACAUCGCUGGAGUGUCUUGGUGUGUGAAGUAUGAAAUAGUUUCUAAAGACAUAAGUUGUGAUAUAGCAAGACAGAGGCAAAACCCCUCAUUCUUCUGAGAGUGUAAACAUCAUGUCGCAAGAAGCUCACCUAAAAUUUGAAAAGGAAAACUCAACGAAAAUUUGAAAAGAAAUUCAAGGAAAAAAAAAUGUGACCUUUAAAAUUUCCAUGUUGACAGCACCACCAGGACCCCUUCUGGGAUCCGUUGCUAGGUAUAACUUCGUGCCUGACUCUGGAAGUUAAAAAAUGAAUAGUUACAGAUUCUUUUUCCGGGAGCCGCCUCUAGAGGGGUGUACCCACCAGGGAAGGGAACAGGAGGAUCGGCAUGGCGGAGCACGUUGGUCUGAGCACAUGUGAGGUGUUUAGAAAACUGCAAGUCAUCCAGCACGGGAGCAACGCCAGGCACAGGCAGGGGAGUCGUAGGGGAUGAUGCUGCAGAAGGGACAGACCGGGUUCUAGAAGUUGGCGAGCAAGGAAAUGUGAGCAUCUGGACUGCCGAACGCACCCUGUUAAGUGCUACUCAUGUCGUUCUGAUUGGGCUGAAUUGAAGAGCUGCCCAGCCUCUCCCCUGGCCCUGAGACCCCUGACCUAGAGGGACUAACUAGAGGGACGGCAUGGCAAUGGCAAGUGUACCCAAGACAGCAUGCCCGGAGGUUUAUCCAGGAAUAUUCAUCCAGAGGGAAAGAGCAAUGGACGAUGAGCAUGUUGGACCAGAUGGGCACGUGUCCAAGUGCACCCUAUGGAAUGUAUCAGCAUCGGCCUCGCCUGGAAGCCUGAUAGAAAUGCAGAUUCCCAGGCCCUGCCCAGGCCUGCUGUAUCCGGAUCUCUUGGUGGUGGAGCCCAGGGAUCUGCAUGUCACGAGCUUGCUCAGAGUAUCUGUGAACUGAGUUCAAUCCACAGCCCUCUACUCCAAUGCUAGCCAGACCCUGGGGCCAUUGCCUCUCCCCCCACAUGCCCCUCCAUACUGUCAGCACCUCUGCAUUGUGGCCUUUCUGCCACCCCCAACCGACUUGGGGAUCCCAACCACCCACACCCAGGGGCCUGCACCAGACUGCAGAGUGUUGCCUGAGGGGACACAGUCCACAGUCAUCCUUUUCUCCUCUCCUUCCCAGUUAAUUCCAUUUUCCACGCCUCUCAUGGCGAUUCCUGAUCUUCACAGGCCCCAGAGCCUCUGACCCUGGUGUUCCCCCUGAGAAAAUGAGGCCAGGGUUUGUGAGCUGCCCAUGCCACACCUGUGCCUGCCUCAUCAUGUGGAGUCCCUUUAGCUCAGCUCUAGGGUCCCCCUUCUUGCUUCCUCAAAGAUCCUCCUCUCUCCCAAGUUCCUCUUCUUCUUCUCAAUACUUCUCUCUUCUGGGGCUUCCUCCUUGACACGUCAAUGUUGUCUAGCUGUCUUCAUCAAUUUUCUUUAUUAUUUUAUUUGUAUAUAUUGUAUUUUAUUUUAAGACAGAGUCUUGCUGUGUCAGCCA
rnacentral:lncRNA from 1 species